CAAUAGCGUAUAUUAAAGUUGUUGCGGUUAAAAGCUCGUAGUUGGAUUUCUGCUGAGGACGACCGGUCCGCCCUCUGGGUGAGUAUCUGGCUUGGCCUUGGCAUCUUCUUGGAGAACGUAGCUGCACUUGACUGUGUGGUGCGGUAUCCAGGACUUUUACUUUUGAGGAAAUUAGAGUGUUUCAAGCAGGCACACGCCUUGAAUACAUUAGCAUGGAAUGAUGGAAUAGGACCUCGGUUCUAUUUUGUUGGUUUUCGGAGCUCGAGGUAAUGAUUAAGAGGGACUGACGGGGCAGUUCGUAUUGCGGUGUUAGGAGGUGAAAUUCUUGGAUCAUCGCAAGACGAACUACAGCGAAAGCAUUUGCCAAGCAU
rnacentral:rRNA from 1 species